rnacentral:rRNA from 1 species
GACGAACGCUGGCGGCGUGCUUAACACAUGCAAGUCGAACGGAAAGGCCCUGCUUUUGUGGGGUGCUCGAGUGGCGAACGGGUGAGUAACACGUGAGUAACCUGCCCUUGACUUUGGGAUAACUUCAGGAAACUGGGGCUAAUACCGGAUAGGAGCUCCUGCUGCAUGGUGGGGGUUGGAAAGUUUCGGCGGUUGGGGAUGGACUCGCGGCUUAUCAGCUUGUUGGUAGGGUAGUGGCUUACCAAGGCUUUGACGGGUAGCCGGCCUGAGAGGGUGACCGGCCACAUUGGGACUGAGAUACGGCCCAGACUCCUACGGGAGGCAGCAGUGGGGAAUAUUGCACAAUGGGCGGAAGCCUGAUGCAGCAACGCCGCGUGCGGGAUGACGGCCUUCGGGUUGUAAACCGCUUUCGCCUGUGACGAAGCGUGAGUGACGGUAAUGGGUAAAGAAGCACCGGCUAACUACGU